rnacentral:tRNA from 1 species
ACCGGUGUCGCCCAACUGGCAGGGCAGCGGAUUGUUAAUCCGUACAGUGCAGGUUCGAGUCCUGCCACCGGAGCCU